rnacentral:rRNA from 1 species
CGAUAAGUCAGAUGUGAAAUCCCCGGGCUCAACUUGGGAACUGCAUCUGAUACUGUUGAGCUAGAGUAUGUGAGAGGAAGGUAGAAUUUAGGUGUAGCGGUGAAAUGCGUAGAGAUCUGGAGGAAUACCGAUGGCGAAGGCAGCCUUCUGGCAUAAUACUGACACUGAGGCUCGAAAGCGUGGGUAGCAAACAGGAUUAGAUACCCUGGUAGUCCACGCCGUAAACGAUGUCUACUAGUCGUUGGGUCCCUUGAGGACUUAGUGACGCAGCUAACGCAAUAAGUAGACCGCCUGGGGAGUACGGCCGCAAGGUUAAAACUCAAAUGAAUUGACGGGGGCCCGCACAAGCGGUGGAGCAUGUGGUUUAAUUCGAUGCAACGCGAAGAACCUUACCUGGUCUUGACAUAUCUAGAAUCCUGCAGAGAUGCGGGAGUGCCUUCGGGAAUUAGAAUACAGGUGCUGCAUGGCUGUCGUCAGCUCGUGUCGUGAGAUGUUGGGUUAAGUCCCGCAACGAGCGCAACCCUUGUCCUUAGUUACCAGCGGGUUAAGCCGGGAACUCUAAGGAUACUGCCAGUGACAAACUGGAGGAAGGCGGGGACGACGUCAAGUCAUCAUGGCCCUUACGACCAGGGCUACACACGUGCUACAAUGGUAGGUACAGAGGGCAGCUACACAGCGAUGUGAUGCGAAUCUCAAAAAGCCUAUCGUAGUCCAGAUUGGAGUCUGCAACUCGACUCCAUGAAGUAGGAAUCGCUAGUAAUCGCGGAUCAGAAUGCCGCGGUGAAUACGUUCCCGGGCCUUGUACACACCGCCCGUCACACCAUGGGAGUUGAUUGCACCAGAAGUGGAU